rnacentral:rRNA from 1 species
UCCGAAGGGGGCUAUCGUUGUUCGGAAUUACUGGGCGUAAAGCGCACGUAGGCGGGUUGUUAAGUCAGGGGUGAAAUCCCGGAGCUCAACUCCGGAACUGCCUUUGAUACUGGCAAUCUAGAGACUGGAAGAGGUUAGUGGAAUUCCCAGUGUAGAGGUGAAAUUCGUAGAUAUUGGGAAGAACACCAGUGGCGAAGGCGGCUAACUGGUCCAGUACUGACGCUGAGGUGCGAAAGCGUGGGGAGAAAACAGG